rfam:Drosophila virilis strain TSC#15010-1051.87 Ctg01_2523, whole genome shotgun sequence.
CAACCUCAACUCAUAUGGGACUACCCCCUGAAUUUAAGCAUAUUAAUUAGGGGAGGAAAAGAAACUAACAAGGAUUUUCUUAGUAGCGGCGAGCGAAAAGAAAUCAGUUCAGCACUAAGUCACUUUGUCUAUAUGGCAAAUGUGAGAUGCAGUGUACGGAACAUCAACAUUCUAGUAUGAGAAGUUAACGAUUUAAGUCCUUCUUAAAUGAGGCCAUUUACCCAUAGAGGGUGCCAGGCCCGUAUAACGUUAAUGAUUACUAGAUGGUGUUUCCAAAGAGUCGUGUUGCUUGAUAGUGCAGCACUAAGUGGGUGGUAAACUCCAUCUAAAACUAAAUAUAACCAUGAGACCGAUAGUAAACAAGUACCGUGAGGGAAAGUUGAAAAGAACUCUGAAUAGAGAGUUAAAUAGUACGUGAAACUGCUUAGAGGUUA